GACCGAUAGCUCAAUGGGUAAAGCGACGGUCUAGAUACCCGAAGAUGCGAGUUCAAAUCCCGCUCGAGUCA